rnacentral:lncRNA from 14 species
AAAAAGAAAAAGCGUGAGUCCAGUCCUCUUACCCCACUGUAACAUCCAAUAUUGUUGAGUGUUUUGAGGUCUGAAGAUGAAAGAAACAGGCUAUUGGACAGUCACACAUCUGUGUGUAUCCGCCAUUGAUUACGGUUGUACAGCUGCACCUGUAUUUGAUUGUGGGAAUGGAAGGAGGAACCAUCCUCAUGCUUUACCCAUUAAAAUGAGUGGAGGUUGAGUCUGCAGAAGGCUUCCUACAUGCUAGUUUUGCUUCUCAUUUUCCAAGAUCAAUUUUUACUUCAAGAGGUGAUCCAUAGAUACUUCCAUGAAUAUUUAUAUUUAGAGAAUGAAGUAGGAGCAUUUGUAAAUCCUUAUACCCUUAAUUAAUGCCAGUCUUCAAGGUUGUGUUUCCCAGUGAUUGAUAAUAAAAAGGUUUCAGUAUGGCA